rnacentral:ncRNA from 1 species
CAAAGUUAUGGUCCCAGACUUACCUCUGCCUGCAGCUCUCAUUACACAUGCAAGUCUCCACAGCCCAGUGAAAAUGCCCAACCCCAUAGAUCGCUAUGACCGGAGCCGGUAUCAGGCACAAACUUUAGCCUAUGACACCUAGCUAUGCCACACCCCCACGGACCACAGCAGUGAUCAACAUUAAGCAAUGAGCCAAAUACUAUUAUGCUCGACUGAGCCACAGCUACUAUCAGGGCCGGUCAACUCCGUGCCAGCCACCGCGGUUAAACGGAAGGCCCGCGGCAGACCACCAACGGCGUAAAGCGUGACCAGAGAAUACACUUUUUAACGGUACCACAAACACACACAGCAGUAAAAUGCCAACACAAAAAAACUAGCCAACCAGUACCACUCCAAAGAUCUACUUGACUCACGAAAGCUGGGGUACAAACUAGGAUUAGAUACCCUACUAUGCCCAGCCAUUAACCCAGGCAAAAUUUCACAUCUUGCCCGCCAGAUUAUUACGAGCCAAAACUUAAAACUCAAAGGACUUGACGGUGUUGCAAGCCUGUCUAGAGGAGCCUGUCUAAUAAUCGAUACCCCACGCUCCACCUCACCCCCCCUAGCACUAGCCGCCUAUAUACCGCCGUCACCCUCGCCCACCUUUUGAAAGCACAACCGUGGGCUAAACAGCCAAACCACUAGCACAUCAGGUCAAGGUGUAGCUGAUGGGGGGGAACAAAAGAUGGGCUACACUUUCUACGAAAGAUCACCACAAACCAAAUGAAAAUGUGUUGGAAGCUGGAUUUAGCAGUAAAUUUAACAAGAAAGUUAAAUUGAAACACGCACUGCAACACGUACACACCGCCCGUCACCCUCCUCAAAAACCCAACAAAUUAAAUAAAGUUUACACGUAACCAAGAUGAGGCAAGUCGUAACAAGGUAAGUGUACUGGAAAGUGCACUUGGACA